rnacentral:rRNA from 1 species
CCUACGGGUGGCAGCAGUGAGGAAUAUUGGUCAAUGGACGCGAGUCUGAACCAGCCAUGCCGCGUGCAGGAAGACUGCUCUAUGAGUUGUAAACUUCUUUUGUACGAGGGUAAACCCAGAUACGCGUAUCUGUCUGAAAGUAUCUUACGAAUAAGGAUCGGCUAACUCCGUGCCAGCAGCCGCGGUAAUACGGAGGAUUCGAGCGUUAUCCGGCUUUAUUGGGUUUAAAGGGAGCGUAGGCGGUCGGUUAAGUUAGAGGUGAAAUCUCGAGGCUCAACUUCGGAAUUGCAUCUGAUACUGUGCGAAUAGAGAGUAGUUGCGGUAGGCGGAAGGUGUGGUGUAGCGGGGAAAUGCUUAGAGAUCAUACAGAACACCGAUUGCGAAGGCAGCUUACCAAGCUACUUCUGACGUUGAGGCACGAAAGUGUGGGGAGCAAACAGGAUUAGAUACCCCAGUAGUC